GAUGAAGAACGUAGCGAAAUGCGAUAAGUAAUGUGAAUUGCAGAAUUCAGUGAAUCAUCGAAUCUUUGAACGCACCUUGCACCCUUUGGCUAUUCCGAAGGGUAUGCCUGUUUGAGUAUCAUGAACACCUCAACUCUCAUGGUUUGCCAUGAUGAGCUUGGACUUUGGGGGUCUUGCUGGCCUGUGGUCAGCUCCUCUCAAAUGGAUUAGCUUGCCAGUGUUUGGUGGCAUCACAGGUGUGAUAACUAUCUACGCUUGUGGUUUUCCACCAGGUAACCUUCAGCAAUGGGGGUUCGCUGGGGCUCAUAAAUGUCUCUCCUCCGUGAGGACAGCUCUUUGAACGUUUGAUCUCAAAUCAGGUAGGACUACCCGCUGAACUUAAGCAUAUCAAUAAGCGGAGGA
rnacentral:misc_RNA from 1 species